rnacentral:rRNA from 1 species
UAAUACAGAGGGUGCAAGCGUUAAUCGGAAUUACUGGGCGUAAAGGGCGCGUAGGUUGGAAUAUAAGUCAGAUGUGAAAGCCCCGGGCUUAACCUGGGAAUUGCAUAUGAAACUGUAUUUCUAGAGUGGAGUAGAGGGCAGUGGAAUUUCCGGUGUAGCGGUGAAAUGCGUAGAUAUCGGAAGGAACACCAGUGGCGAAGGCGGCUGCCUGGACUCUAACUGACACUGAGGCGCGAAAGCGUGGGGAGCGAACAGGAUUAGAUACCCUGGUAGUCCACGCUGUAAACGAUGAGAACUAGCUGUUGGUAUCCGUAAAGGAUAUCAGUAGCGCAGCAAACGCGAUAAGUUCUCCGCCUGGGGAGUACGGCCGCAAGGUUA